rnacentral:rRNA from 1 species
UGGCAGCAGUGAGGAAUAUUGCGCAAUGGGGGAAACCCUGACGCAGCGACGCCGCGUGGAUGAUGAAGGCCUUCGGGUCGUAAAAUCCUGUCAGGUGGAAAGAAAUGUAUGGAUGCUAAUACCAUUUAUAUUUGACGGUACCACCAAAGGAAGCACCGGCUAACUCCGUGCCAGCAGCCGCGGUAAUACGGAGGGUGCAAGCGUUGUUCGGAAUUACUGGGCGUAAAGCGCGCGUAGGCGGUUUUAUAAGUCAGAUGUGAAAGUCCACGGCUCAACCGUGGAAGUGCAUUUGAAACUGUAUGACUUGAGUACUGGAGGGGGUGGUGGAAUUCCCGGUGUAGAGGUGAAAUUCGUAGAUAUCGGGAGGAAUACCGGUGGCGAAGGCGACCACCUGGCCAGAUACUGACGCUGAGGUGCGAAAGCGUGGGGAGCAAACAGGAUUAGAUACCCCAGUAGUC